GGCUUAACACAUGCAAGUCGAACGAUGUAGCAAUACAUAGUGGCGCACGGGUGAGUAAUACAUGGGAACGUGCCCUUCAGUCUGGGAUAACAGCGGGAAACUGCUGCUAAUACUGGAUAUUCCCUCCGGGGGAAAGAUUUAUCGCUGAAGGAUUGGCCCAUGCGAGAUUAGGUAGUUGGUGGGGUAAUGGCCUACCAAGCCUACGAUCUCUAGCUGGUCUGAGAGGACGACCAGCCACACUGGAACUGAGACACGGUCCAGACUCCUACGGGAGGCAGCAGUGGGGAAUAUUGGACAAUGGGCGAAAGCCUGAUCCAGCCAUGCCGCGUGAGUGAUGAAGGCCUUAGGGUUGUAAAGCUC
rnacentral:rRNA from 1 species